rnacentral:tRNA from 1 species
GGGGUGAUGGCUCAGUGUGGGAGCACUUGCCUAGCACACAUGAGGCACUGGGUUCGAUUCUCAGUACCACA